UACGAAGGGGGCUAGCGUUGCUCGGAAUUACUGGGCGUAAAGGGCGCGUAGGCGGAUAUUUAAGUCGGGGGUGAAAGCCCAGGGCUCAACCCUGGAAUUGCCUUCGAUACUGGAUAUCUUGAGUUCGGGAGAGGUGAGUGGAAUGCCGAGUGUAGAGGUGAAAUUCGUAGAUAUUCGGCGGAACACCAGUGGCGAAGGCGACUCACUGGCCCGAUACUGACGCUGAGGCGCGAAAGCGUGGGGAGCAAAC
rnacentral:rRNA from 1 species